rnacentral:rRNA from 1 species
UACAGAGGGGGCAAGCGUUGUUCGGAAUUACUGGGCGUAAAGGGCGCGUAGGCGGCCCUCUAAGUCGAACGUGAAAUCCCUGGGCUCAACCCAGGAACUGCGUCGGAUACUGGAUGGCUUGAAUUCGGGAGAGGGAUGCAGAAUUCCAGGUGUAGCGGUGAAAUGCGUAGAUAUCUGGAGGAAUACCGGUGGCGAAGGCGGCAUCCUGGACCGACAUUGACGCUGAGGAGCGAAAGCUAGGGGAGCAAACGGG